GAUACCAGGGUCAAAAGGUCAGAAGUUCGACGCAAGCUUGCUUGCAGGAGAAUUUUUGACCUUGGGACCCGCCAAAAACAUGAGUAAGUAGCCAUUUUUCAAAGAAAAAUGAGCGAAUUACGAAUGUUUUGAGGAUUGCGUGAGCACGCAGUGCGGAGUAAUCCGGU
rnacentral:sRNA from 1 species